rnacentral:rRNA from 1 species
CGUGAGCGACAUGCCCGUUGCCCGGGGACAACCGGUGGAAACGCCGACUAAUCCCCGAUGGGAUACGAUGCUGCAUGGCAUUGUAUUGAAAGUUACGGCGGCGACGGAUUGGCUCGCGUCCGAUUAGCUGGUUGGCGGGGUAACGGCCCACCAAGGCUGCGAUCGGUAGGGGUUCUGAGAGGAAGGCCCCCCACAAUGGGACUGAGACACGGCCCAUACUCCUACGGGAGGCAGCAGUGAGGAAUAUUGGACAAUGGGCGGAAGCCUGAACCAGCCAUGCCGCGUGCGGGAAGGAGGCCCUAUGGGCUGUGAACCGCUUUUGCCUGGGGGCAAUAAGGGCGU